CGCCGCCGCGGUAAUACGGAGGGUGCAAGCGUUAAUCGGAAUUACUGGGCGUAAAGCGUGCGUAGGUGGUGGUUUAAGUCCGUUGUGAAAGCCCUGGGCUCAACCUGGGAAUUGCAGUGGAUACUGGGUCACAAGAGUGUGGUAGAGGAUAGUGGAAUUUCCGGUGUAGCAGUGAAAUGCGUAGAGAUCGGAAGGAACAUCUGUGGCGAAGGCGACUAUCUGGGCCAACACUGACACUGAGGCACGAAAGCGUGGGGAGCAAACAGGAUUAGAUACCCGCGUAGUCCCUGUCUCUUAUACC
rnacentral:rRNA from 1 species